rnacentral:rRNA from 1 species
UACGUAGGUGGCAAGCGUUGUCCGGAAUUAUUGGGCGUAAAGCGCGCGCAGGCGGCCUUUUAAGUCUGAUGUGAAAGCCCACGGCUCAACCGUGGAAGGUCAUUGGAAACUGAAAGGCUUGAGUACAGAAGAGGAAAGCGGAAUUCCACGUGUAGCGGUGAAAUGCGUAGAGAUGUGGAGGAACACCAGUGGCGAAGGCGACUCUUUGGCCUGUAACUGACGCUGAGGCGCGAAAGCGUGGGGAGCAAACAGG